rnacentral:rRNA from 1 species
UACGUAGGGGGCGAGCGUUGUCCGGAAUGAUUGGGCGUAAAGGGCGCGUAGGCGGCCAUUUAAGUCUGGAGUGAAAGUCCUGUUUUUAAGAUGGGAACUGCUUUGGAUACUGGAUGGCUUGAGUGCAGGAGAGGUUAUCGGAAUUCCCGGUGUAGCGGUGAAAUGCGUAGAGAUCGGGAGGAACACCAGUGGCGAAGGCGGGUAACUGGACUGCAACUGACGCUGAGGCGCGAAAGUGUGGGGAGCAAACAGG